UCUGGUGGCGAUAGCGAAGAGGUCACACCCGUUCCCUUACCGAACACGGAAGUUAAGCUCUUU
rnacentral:rRNA from 1 species